GUGGGGAAUAUUGCACAAUGGGGGAAACCCUGAUCCAGCGACGCCGCGUGAAGGAUGAAGGCCUUCGGGUUGUAAACUUCUUUUGGAGGGGACGAAUAAAUUGACGGUACCCUCAGAAAAAGCCACGGCUAACUACGUGCCAGCAGCCGCGGUAAUACGUAGGUGGCGAGCGUUACUCGGAAUUACUAGGCGUAAAGCGUAUGUAGGCGGUUGUAUAAGUCUAUGGUGAAAUUUCCUGGCUCAACUGGGAAGGGACAUAGAUACUGUAUGGCUUGAGUGUUGGAGGGGGAGACGGAAUUCCUGGUGUAGCGGUGAAAUGCGUAGAUAUCAGGAGGAACACCGAUGGCGAAAGCAGUCUCCUGGCCAAAUACUGACGCUGAGGUACGAAAGCUAGGGUAGCAAACAGGAUUAGAAACCCUUGUAGUCC
rnacentral:rRNA from 1 species